CUCAGCCUUUACUCUGGGUUUAGGCACACCUCACUCCAGGUUUACUCACCCUUUACUCAGCUUUUACACACCCUUUAUUCCAGCUUUACACACACUGUACACUGGGUUUACUCACAUCUCACUCCGGAUUUUACUCACCCUUUACUCCGGGUUUUACUCAGCCUUUACUCCAGGUUUACUCAGCCUUUACUCUGGGUUUAGGCACACUUUACUCUGGGUUUUACUCAGCCUUUACUCCAGGUUUACUCCACCUUCACUCAGGUUUUAACACACUUUAUUCCAGGUUUACACACCCUUUACUCCGGGUUUUACUCACCCUAUACUCCAGGCUUACUCAACCUUUACUCUGGGUUUAAUCGCACCUCACUCUGGAUUUUACUCACCCUUUACUCCGGGUUUACUCACACUUUACUCUGGGUUUUACUCACCCUUUACUCCAGGUUUACUCAGCCUUUACUCUGGGCUUAGGCACACUUUACUCUGGGUUUUACUCAGCCUUUACUCCAAGUUUGCUCAACCUCUACUCAGGUUUUACUCACCCUCUAUUCCAGCUUUACACACACUGUACACUGGGUUUACUCACAUCUCACUCCGGAUUUUACUCACCCUUUACUCCGGGUUUACUCACCCUUUACUCUGGGUUUAGGCACACUUUACUCCGGGAUUUACUCAGCCUUUACUUCAGGUUUACUCACCCUUUACUCUGGGUUUUACUCACACUUUACUCCGGGUUUCUUCAACCUUUACUCAGCUUUUACUCACCCUUUACUCCACGUUUACUCAACCUUUACUCUGGGUUUACUCACACUUUACUCCGGAUUUUACUCACCCUUUACUCCAGGUUUACUCAACCUUUACUCUGGGUUUAGGCACACCUUACUCCAGGUUUUACUCAGCCUUUACUCCUGGUUUCACUCCCCCUUUACUCCAGGUUUACUCACCCUUCACUCCGGUUUUACACACCCUUUAUUCCACGUUUACACACACUUUACUCUGGGUUUACUCUCACUUUACUCCGGGUUUCACUCCCCCUUUACUAUGGGUUUACUCACCCUUUACUCCGGUUUUACACACCCUUUAUUCCACGUUUACACACACUUUACUCCGCUCCAUAGAUGGGCCCCUGUGCCCCGUCGAUGCAACCCCUGCCCCAUAGAUUCGAUCCGUGCCCCAUAGAUGUGCCCCCCUGCCCCAUACAUGCAACCCCUGCCCCAUAGAUGUGCCCCCCUGCCCCAUAGAUGGGACCCCUGCCCCAUAGAUGGGAGUCCCUGCCCCAUAGAAGUGCCCCCCUGCCCCAUAGAAGUGCCCCCCUGCCCCAUAGAUGCAACCCCUGCCUGAUAGAUAUGAUCCCAGCCCCAUAGAUGUGCCCCCCUGCCCCAUAGGUGUGCCCCCCUUCCCCAUACAUGCAACCCCUGACCCACAGAUAUGAUCUGUGCCCCAUAGAUGUGCCCCUGAGCCCAUAGAUGCAACCCCUGCCCCAUAGAUGUGCCCCCCUGCCCCAUACAUGCAACCCCUGACCCACAGAUAUGAUCUGUGCCCCAUAGAUGUGCCCCUGAGCCCAUAGAUGCAACCCCUGACCCAUAGAUGUGCCCCCCUGCCCCAUAGAUGGGACCCACUGCCCCAUAGAUGGGCCUCCCUGCCCCAUAGAUCCGAUCCCUGACCCAUAGAGCACAUCACUGCCCCAUAGAUGUGCCCCCCUGCCCCAUAGAUCUGAUCCCUGCCUCAUAGAGCACAUCACUGCCCCAUAGAUGGGGCCACCUGACCCAUAGAUGUGCCUCCCUGCCCCAUAGAACAGAUCCCUGCCCCAUAGAUAUGAUCCCUGUCCCAUCGAUGCACCCCCGAGCCAAAUAGAUGCGACCCCUUCCCCAUAGAUGGGAGUCCCUGCCCCAUAGAGCAGAUCACUGCCCCAUAGAUGUGCCCCCUGCCCCAUAGAUAUGAUCCCUGCCCCAUAGAUGUGCCCCACUGCUCCAUAUAUGUCACCCCUGCCCCAUAGAUGGGACUCCUGCCCCAUAGAUAUGAUCCCUGCCCCAUAGAUGCUACCCCUGCCCCAUAGAUGUGCCCCCCUGCCCCAUAGAUCCGAACCCUGCCCCAUAGAUAUGGUCGCUGCCCCAUAGAUCUGAACCCUGCCCCAUAGAUAUGAUCGCUGCCCCAUAGAUGGCCCCCCCCUGCCCCAUAGAUGUGCCUCCCUGCCCCAUAGAUGUGACUCCUGCCCCAUAGAUGUGCUCCCCUGCCAAUAGAUCCGAUACGUGCCCCAUAGAUAUGAUCCCUGCCCCAUAGAUGUGCCCCCCUACCCCAUACAUGCAAACCCUGCCCCAUAGAUCCAAUCCCUGCACCAUAGAUGCGACCCCUGCCCCAUAGAUGGGAGUCCCUGCCCCAUAGAAGUGCCCUCCAGCCCCAUAGAUAGAGGUGCCUCCCUGCCCCAUAGAUUGCCCCCCUUCCCCAUACAUGCAACCCCUGACCCAUAGAUAUGAUCUGUGCCCCAUAGAUGUGCCCCUGAGCCCAUAGAUGCGACCCCUGCCCCAUAGAUGGGAGUCCCUGCCCCAUAGAUGCGACCCCGCCCCAUAGAUAUGACCCCUGCCCCAUAGAUCGACCUCCGCCCCAUAGAUAUGAGUCGCUGCCCCAUAGAUGAGCCCCCCUGCCCCAUACAUGCGACCCCUGCCCCAUAGAUCCGAUCCCUGCCCCAUAGAUGCGACCCCUGCCCCAUAGAUGCAAUCCCAACCCCAUAGAUAUGAUCCCUGCCCCAUAGAUGUGCCCCCCAGCCAUAUAGAUGUGCCCCCCAGCCCCAUAGAUAUGCCCCCCAGCCCAAUAGAUGCAACCCCUGCCCUAUAGAUGGGAGUCCCUGCCCCAUAGAUGUGCCCCCCAGCCCCAUAGAUAUGAUCCCAGCCCCAUAGAUAGAGGUGCCUCCCUGCCCCAUAGAUGUGACCCCUGCCCCAUAGAUGCGACCCCUGCCCGAUAGAUAUGAUCCCAGCCCCAUAGAUGCGAUCCCUGCCGCAUAGAUGUGCCUGCCUGCCCCAUAGAUGUGACCCCUGCCCCAUACAUGCAACCCCUGCCCCAUAGAUAUGACCAAUGCCCCAUAGAUGCCACCCCUGUCCCAUAGAUGGGAGUCCCUGCCCCAUAGAUCCGACCCGCGCCCCAUAGAUAUGAGUCCCUGCCCCAUAGAUGAGCCCCCCUGCCCCAUACUUGCAACCCCUGCCCCAUAGAUCUGAUCCCUGCCCCGUAGAUGCGACCCCGCCCCAUAGAUAUGAUCGCUGCCCCAUAGAUGGGCCCCCCUGCCCCAUACAGGUGCCCCCCUGCCCCAUACAUGCAACCCCUGCCCAUAGAACCAAUCCCUGCCCCAUGGAUAUGAUCACUGUCUUAUAGAUGUGCCCCCAGCCCCAUAGAUAUGCCCCCAGCCCCAUAGAUUCACCCCCUGCCCCAUAGAUUCACCCCCUGCCCCAUAGAUCCGAUCCCUGCCCAUAGAUACGAGUCCCUGCCCCAUAGAUAUGACCCCCCUGCCCCAUAGAUAUGACCUCUGCCCCAUAGAUCCGACCCCUGCCCCAUAGAUCUGACCCCUGCCCUAUAGAUAUGAGUCCCUGCCCCAUAGAUAUGAUCCCCUGCCCCACAGCAAGGUCCUACCCAACAUCCAUAACCAGCCCCAUAGCUACACUCCCCUGCCCCAUAGAUACCCCCCCAGCCCCAUAGAUAUAGCCCCCUGCCCCAUAG
ensembl:lncRNA